CACAUGACCGGUGACCGAGUAAACAGGAAGCCAUAAAAAGUUUGCCGUCAGUUCAAGAAAGUCUCUCUUGGCUGCUUGUCACUGGUCUUCUCCCUCUCACAAAGGGCGAGUGCAAGACGAGAGUUUACCAUUGACGGAGGAAAACUCUCCCGACAGGCACAAGACCGGAGCUUAAUGUACACAACCGGCCCAGCUACCCGGGAUAUUAAGUGACCAUUUCCCCGGCAGGAUUAAGCCGAGUUGGAAACCUACUCUGUGGAAGUAUGCCUUGUUUUUAACUCUUUCAUUUUAUAUUGAGUUGGUGAAUGAGGCUGGCAACUAACAUGUUAUGUUGUUUCCUUUUCAAAAGGACCAGGCCAGCCACUGUCCUAUAGUGUUUCUUGUGUAUUUUCUUACCCAUUUUCUUCAUGUGCAGUGUAUGGCAGUAUAAUCAUUUUAAUAUUUGUGUCGUAGGUUGCGCUCCUCUGCGGCGUAGGCCUGGGCCCGGGUGGAACGCUGCCUGCCUUCAGUGUAGGGACUGCACGGUGUGACACUUUAUUUUCUGUAUGCUAAAUAACUCACUGUUAUUAUUUUAUAGAGAUUGUGGUUUAAAUAUUGCAUGCUUAUGUUGUUUUGGUGUGUGGCUUUUCUUGUUUUUGUCCCUCACGAUUAGCAGGCACUGCAACCCAGCGGACCGGGCCUGCCCAACUGAGGAGGGUAACUUAUAUAUGUAUUGAAUUGUAUUUGCCAUUUUUAUACUGGACAUGAAUCGACAUUUUAAACUGUUUCCAAACACUUAUUAAAUAAAGCUGUGUUAUGUUUUUGGAA